rnacentral:rRNA from 1 species
AUGCAAGUCGAACGGACUUGUGGGGCUUGCUCCACAAGUUAGUGGCAGACGGGUGAGUAACGCGUGGGAAUGUACCUUUUGGUUCGGAAUAACUUCGGGAAACUGAAGCUAAUACCGGAUAAGCCCGUGAGGGGAAAGAUUUAUCGCCGAAAGAGCAGCCCGCGUUAGAUUAGGUAGUUGGUGGGGUAAAGGCCUACCAAGCCUACGAUCUAUAGCUGGUCUGAGAGGAUGAUCAGCCACACUGGGACUGAGACACGGCCCAGACUCCUACGGGAGGCAGCAGUGGGGAAUAUUGGACAAUGGGGGAAACCCUGAUCCAGCAAUGCCGCGUGAGUGAUGAAGGCCUUCGGGUUGUAAAGCUCUUUUGUCAGGGACGAUGAUGACGGUACCUGACGAAUAAGCUCCGGCUAACUUCGUGCCAGCAGCCGCGGUAAUACGAGGGGAGCUAGCGUUGUUCGGAAUUACUGGGCGUAAAGGGCGUGUAGGCGGUACCAUAAGUCAGAUGUGAAAGCCCUAGGCUUAACCUAGGAGGUGCAUUUGAUACUGUGGAACUAGAGAUCGAGAGAGGUAAGUGGAAUUACGAGUGUAGAGGUGAAAUUCGUAGAUAUUCGUAAGA